UACGUAGGCAGCGAGCGUUUGUUCGGAAUUACUGGGCGUAAAAGAGUGUGUAGGCGGUGUUCCCAGUCUGUUGUGAAAAUCUCCCGGCUUAACUGGGAGGGUGCAGCGGAAACUAGAAUGCUAGAGGGUGGGAGAAGGUAAGCGGGAAUUCCUGGUGUAGCGGUGAAAAUGCGUAGAUAUCAGGAGGAACACCUGUGGUGUAGACAGCUUACUGGACCACUUCUGACGCUUGAGACACGAAGCGUGGGUAGCAAAACAGG
rnacentral:rRNA from 1 species